GGCUGUUAACCCGGUCUUCAGAGGCAAACAGUGACCUUGGGAGAAAAAAAAAAAAAAAGACAAGGACAGGGAACAUUUUUGAAGAUUUCUCUCUCUCUUGGCAUUUCAAGGACGUUUUCUGCCGUCUGGGUGAGAGGCAACCCGGGGAAGAAAACUAGAAAGUGAAACUAACUCUCCUGGCUAGUGUCCCUGCAGGCCGCGGCCCUGCACGGCCCCUCCCUUGUCGUUGACCAGAUCUGUCAGUCAGAUGGAUGGCACGUGCCCGGCAGAGGGCUGGAGGAAAUGUCAGCGAGGAGGAUGCCGGUGGCUCGGCACCAAGAGUCGUGGUGCCCCAGCACGUCCCCACUGAGACGCCUGCAGGGCGGCAGGCACUGGGGUUUGUGCAGGUGGCCGGCCUGGGCCUCCCCCAGGCCCCGCCCUGUUGGGGUGGCCAGCCCCGACUAAAUAUAGUCCUGGAGGGCGAGGCGGCUCUCGGUUAGUUGGAAGGGUUUGCUUGCCCCGCCCCUGAUCACCGCCACCCUCCAGAUACUUGCCUACGGGGGCUCUCACCUGCUGGUCUCUUCCCCAGGCAACCAUCUCCUCUGACCUUCUUCCCCCAGGCCUUGUUUCAGGCAGACUAAGAAAGUCUACUCAUCAGUCCUGGAGUAAAACCCCCCUCCUAGAAACCUGCCCAGUGCUGGGGUGUUGGUACAGAUCACCAGUGGUGUCCAGCACCUCUUUCCCAAUUUGCGGUUGGUUUAGAAAUCUCAGGCGAUGAGGAAAUUUAUGGGAGUCAUUCGUGGGCGUGCUCUUAUUAAGAAAUAGGGUAGGACCUUUCAUUAAAACCGUGUUGCCUUAAAAAAGGGGAUAUCCAUUUAAUUCCAGGACAUCUGAUGGGAAUUGUCACCGAAAUCUCUUUUCAGAUAGCACCCUUUAAUGCAGAAGAACUGCAUUAUCUAUUUAUAGAUACUAAAAUGCAUACUAUAUUCUUUCAUUGUCAGGAUUUGAGGUGUGUGCAAUUUUUUUUAUUCAAUCUUAAGCUUUAGAUACUUUAUUUUGGGGGAAAAGUGCUUUUGUGUAUAUAUAUAUAAAAUUGUUUUUUGAUUCCACACCCCCCACACAGAAGUAUAAUUAGAACGUCUGAAACCAGAUUAUCCAAUUAGUAGUUGUUAUUUAGACGCUAAGUCGAGUCCGACUGUUUGUGACCCUAUGGACUACAGCAUGCCAGGCUCCCCUGUCCUCCACUGUCUCCCAGCGUUUGCUCAAAUUCAUGUCCAGUAAAUUGGUGAUGCUAGCCAGCAGUCUCAUCUGUAUCCAAUUAGUACAUUUUUCUAAUUAACUGUUAGGAAUUUGUGAUGAGAUAAAUUAUUUUAGAUUUCCAAUGAAACUUUGGCCACAAGGAGGUACCUGAGGGGAAAGAUCAUGGGUUUUCAGUUUUGGCUACCACCUACUCCCCUACUCCCCACGAAAUACCUAAUUUGCCUGCUGUUAGGCAGCAACAGUGACCAGGAAACAGUUUUAUUUUCCUUGUCCCGAGUAGAGUUGGAAACAUUUCUCGUUUAUGAUGGCUUCUCUCUGCUUCGGACAGUGAAGCAGGCAGAUGAAGAUGGGGUUUAAAUACUCCUUUUGUACAUUUUUCAGCAGUAACAUUGGUAGCUGUCCUUUGGACAAAAAAACAAAUUUGUGAUGAUCUGCAUUCAUUCAGUUUGUGUCUUCUUUGUGCCUUGUAUGUGCUUCCUGUGCCAGGAGGCUUGGCGAGGAGAGGGGGCAGCCUGCAGGGGUGGGGACCUCCGACCAAGACGAAGGAAUGGAGUCGGUUCACAUUUGGUAACAGUGCCUGGUGCAAGCCCCAAAUCCUUUAUCCGAAAUUCUAAACUCUGAAAACCAAAAGUUGUUUUUAUAACGAAUUUCAUGGGAAUUCUUGACCCAAACUGACUUGAGUCUAGAUUUUCCCGGGGAGCAUGAAUCUUCAUGGCUUAUCCUUGCAGAGACGUUCCUUCGUGUGAUUUCAGGGGGCUGGGGAGUGCUGCUCUGCUGGUGUGUUGCUCAGCAUGUGGCCUGUGCACCAUGUUAUCUAAGACCUGAAAACUUCUGCAGCAUGUCGGGCCAGAAGGUUUGGGGUAAGAAGAUGCAGUCCUGGAGCAGGAGCAUGCGCCUGACAAAGGCGGCUGGACCUGAGGCCUGCAGAGCCCUCUCCCCACAGACCUUGAACUCCAUGAAGGCUCACUAGGUUUUGCUCACUGUUACAUCCUCGCUGCCCAGCUGGGUGCCUGGAGCCUCCUAGGUGCGAGUGAAUGCUGGUCAGCAGUUAAGUGUUGGCCAGCUUUGUUUGGGGAAGCCAAAUAGUAAAUAUUUUAGGCUCUGGGGGCCAUGGGGCCUCUGUUGCAACUCUCUUGUCUUUCAUUUCCUAGAAUCCAUGAUACAAAGUGCUGAAGAUGCUUUAUACAAAAAAAAAGAUAUUCGCUAUGCUUAUUAUUUAUAACAGUGGCCGUUUAGAAACAACAUGAAGGAAACAGUAAGAUGCAUCACGGUGAAUCCUCCCCGUGGGAUAUUUGUCUGUGUGCGCUCAGUCAUGUCUGACUCUUUGCAACUCCAUGGACCAUAGCCCGUCAGGCUUCUCUGUCCCCAGGAUUCUGUAGGCAAGUAUACUAGAGUGGGUUGCCAUUUCCUACUCCAGGGGAUCUUCCUGACCCAGGGAUCAAACCCACGUCUCCUGUGUCUGCUGCAUUGCAGGUGGAUUCUUGACCACUUGAGCCAUCACCAUGUAAAUGAAUGAGUACCUGUGUUCUGAUAAAAUGGUGACCGUGGUUGUGGGUCUGACCUGGGGGUCCACAGUUGGCUGAUUCCUAUGAGGAGGAUAAACACACCCUAAGCCUGGACGUCUCCCCAUCUCUUAGCCCUACCGUCUACAGGCCUGGUCAGUUUGUUUCCCUGCCCCAGUGCCGUUUCCGGUAAAGAGAUACAGGCAGUGCCCACCCCCUGGUGUCUGCCUCUCCCGUGUUCAGGAAACAUGGCUGAAAGGGAGGUGCCGCGCUCCCUGGACCGGCCUGGUUCAAGGGAGUGGGUGUUCAUGUGGAUGAAUGCAUUUGGGUUCCAGUCCAGCCUUGCCAAGGGGCACUCGCACCUCCACCCGCCGAUGAGUGUUUCAGGGGCUUAGCUAACCUCAGGGUACGGGGGCCAUCAUCAUCAGGCCAGGCAGGGCUGGCAUUCAUGGGGCAUUGUGGGGGGAGCUGAGGGGGUGAGAGAGAGAGUGUUUAGGAGGCAUUCUCAGCCGGAGAAUUUCUGGCAGAGAGAUGAGUGACCGUAAACCCAGGAGCUCAGGUCUCCUGGCUGUGUUCAUCGCAGCCCAGGAGUGGCCAGCAAGGGUGGAUGGGCCAGUGACUCCAAGAAGGCUUUCCACCGCAGCGGAGGCCCAAAUCCAGCCAAGACCGCUGACUCUCACCCCCAUGGCAGGCUGACCUGGGGGCAGGGGGGUGGGUGGCUGGAAGGAGGGCAGCACUUUACAGAGCUCACAGCCCUAAGCUGAGGGCCCCUAUGCCCAGCUUCUCCAGGCCCACCCCUGCUGCUAGCCCUGGCCAUGCCCAGCAGCUCCUUCCCGAGUCCGGGCGGGACUUUCUCAAGCAAACUGCAAACAAGGGCUGGCACCUCUGGUUGGCCUUUUCUUUUCCUUCCUUUAUGGUUUUGUGAUUUGCUGGCAAUUUUCAGGUUGAGCGCCCGUACUCAGCAGCUCCCUCGGAAGCCUUGAUGACUUUUCAGCCCCCAGCAGAAGGGUGUAGCGCCCCCCACCCCCGACCCCAGUCAGCAGCGUGAGUUCAACUCAGUGUGAGGGCUGAAAGGAACCAGACUGGGGCCUGGUGUGUUUGGUGAUGUCAGAGCCAAGCCCAGGGAGGUCCCCGUCACGCACUAGCACGGUGUGGGGGAUCCUCUGGCCACUGUCCAGGGCACCCCUAUCCCCCAACCUCACUUUGUUAUUGAGCACCUCGGCCAGGCACUGCCUGUACCGUGGUGGUAAGACAGCCCAGAGCGGUGCUUCUCAAACUUGGGUGACCCUGUGAACCACACCAGGAGACUGUUAGCAAUGCAGACUCCAGGGCCCUUUGGUUGAGCUCCGGGGCCCCAGAGUCAGCAUUGUUAAUAAGCACAAGGGAUUGUGAAGUGGGUGGUUCCAGGCUGGUGCUGAGCGGGGCAGGGGUGGGGGAAUAGGCAAAGCCGUGUGAUGUGUGUGGAGUCAGGGAGCGUGGAGAAAGAAGACGGGGCUCUAACUGGGGUGGCGUGGCUGGGGUCAGGAAAGGUGAGUUGAGCCUUGAAGCACAAAGCAGGCAUGGUAGUGAUUGCUGACUCUGGAAAUCUUGAUGCUAGGCACAGCUCGAAGCCUUUAUAGGCACUGACUCAUUUAAUCCUUCCAGCAACCCCAUGAAAUAGGUAGUUACACAGAUUUUUUUUUUAAGUAUUUAUUUGGCUGCACCAAGUCCUAGGUGCGGCACAUGGGAUCUUUUGUUGCAGUGCACAGGACUAGUUCCCUGACCAGGGAUCGAACCCAGGCCCCCUGCAUUAGGAGCACAGAGUCUUAGCCACCAGGGCGGUAUCUCGUUACCCUGAUCUUGGAGCACAAAAGGGUUUAGAAGCUUGCCUGAGGUUCUUGGUUGCUAAGUGGUGAGCUGACCCUCUUUGUCCUCCUUAUCUGUUCUUCUGCACUGGGGCCGCGGCAUACAGACCGUGAGACCACGGCUGUGCAGACCGAAGGCUAGGACUUCUUUGGAUGUGGUCAUGUUGCUGAGGGAUUCAGAAGGUUUGGAUCCUUGUGUGCAGAGACGGUUUGGCUUUUUAAAAAAAAAUUUAUUUCGUUUAAAAUGUAUUUUUGGUGGUGCUGGGUCUUCAUUGCUACACGGGCUUUUCUCUAGUUGCAGCAGGCCGGGGCUCCUCUCCAGUGGUGGUGCUCAGGUUUCUCAUCGUGGCGGCUUCUCUUGACACGGAGCUUGGGCUAUAGGGUGCACAGGCUUCGGUAGUAGCGGUUCCUGGGCUUUAGAGCAUAGGCUCGAUGGUUGUGGCACAUGGGCUUAGUUGCUCUGCAGUGUGUGGGAUCUUCCUGGAUCGGGGAUUGAACCUGUGUCCUCUGCAUCUGCAGGCAGAUUCUUUUUCACUGAGCCACCAGGGAAGCCCGGCAGUUUGGCUGUUGCUGGUGGAGUAUAUGCAGGAUGAUCUUGGUUAGGGCUAAAAGUUGUAGCGAGGUAACAGCUGCUAUAAUGUAGCUUUGAGAGGCAGCUGGGAUUUGGCACAGGUGUUCUCCCUUUGAAUGAGGCAGGACCCUGGCAUGUGGGAAGACGGUGCAGAGCGCACGGGGCAGCGAGGCCUGUGCCCCAACACCCCAUCUCCACCUGCUCCUCCGAGAGGGAGGAAUUCUCCACCGCCCAAGUCCUCAGAGUCUCCCAGGGAGCCUGGCCCAGCUCUAGGGGUCUGAGGGCAAGGGGGAAGCUGCUUGGACAGGGGAAGACAGUGUUGGGAGCCAGCCCAAACCUUUGUAUGCUAUCCUUCCUUCAGUCUUCACAUCACCCUGCAAAGGAGGCCAUUCGUUCUGUUUACCCACGCGCAAGCCAAGGCACACAGAAUCUAAGCAACUUAGACGCCACCACACAGCAAGUAAGCGGGUAGUGGAGCCUGGUCUGUUUCCUGUGGGACAUACUUUACAGCAGGGUCCGCCUUAUUCUGAGAGGCCACAUGUCCUGCUGCACCCACAGUGGGGCUGGUGACCGGGGGCCCCUGAGGAGUGGGUGCAGUGCCCGGCUGGGUAGGGCAGGCUCCCAGCAGCCAGCUGAGCCCAGCUCUGGGUGGGAUGGCCUAGCUUCAGGGGAUGCAUUACUGGCUGACCGGUGGCAUUCCGAGGAUGCCAAAGGUCUGGGGUCUAUGGGAGUGGUCAGCUGGGGUCUUCCUAGUCUAGGGCCCUAAUGCUGGGAGCUGAGCCUCUGCUGUUCUGACAGAGGCCAGGUGACCCUUCCCUCGGGUCUUCUGGCUUUGCCUAGGUCUUGGGACCCCCUCGUCCACUUGGGAUUCUGCCAGGACUCUAGCCUACGGCUCCCUGUGGACAGAAGGCGUUGGGUUCCAAGUUGGCUCUGGGUGGACCAAGGGCUGGUCUCUCCUGGGAGCGCCUGGGGCGUGGGGCAGUGAAGCCAGCCACUGUCCAGGCUGAGAAUUGUGCCACCGUGGAGACCCUACAGCCACCCCACCUGCCACAGAACUUCCUGUGGGCUGGGAGGGGUGGGCCAGUGUCGGGGAGGGGUCACUGUUUCUACCUUGGUUCACCUGGGUCAGCUGGCUGACUCCUUCCUCACCUGGAGAGUGCUCAAGGACAGCAAGAAAAAUGAGGGACUUUCAGGGGCAGCUGUGUUUUCUGACUCAGUCAUAAUGCCCCUAAAAAUCCUUAUUGUUCUUGCAGUGUGCAUCAGGCGGCGGCCCCAGCCCAGCCCUUGCCCACCUGGCCCCUCUGGGAUGGGGAGAACUACCUGGGGUUCAGCUGGCGUGUCCUCCCACGUUGUCCUGAUGCGAGACUGUAGGGGGAUUUGCUGAUGAGUUAAUGUUUUGUUGGUUGAUGCAUUGAUUGGCAUGUACUUUUAUAAUUUCUUUUUUGGUGGAGGAUGGGGUAGGCUGGGCAUCGAGACACUCGCACACAGAUCGGAGCCCCGGAAAAUGCAAGGUCUCCCUGGUUUGUGCGCAGUGAGGGGUCCCUAGAACCUAGCUGCACAUUACAACCUGAGGAAGGGGGGCUUCAAGGGCAGGUGUACCCAGGGCUAGGUCAUGUCCUACUCUUGAUGGCCCCAUGGACUGUAGCCUGCCCGGUUCCUUUGUCCAUGGAGUUUUUCAGGCAGGAAUACUGGAGUGGGUUGCCAUUUCUUUCUCCAGGGGAUCGUCCCGACCCAGGGAUUGAACCUGCAUCUCCCACAUUGGCAGGCAGAUUCUUUACCACUGAGCCACCUGGGAAGCCCCAUUUAGGGGCACUGUGUUUUAAAACGGGAGGAGCCUCAGUGUGCACCCUGAGGCCGCUGAGCUGGCCGUUUUGCAAAUCUGCCUGCAGUGGACCGAGGUCUUCCCGCAGCUGUUGCCCCUAGAGCCUGCUUUCUCUUGGGCGGGUGGUCUCUACCCUGUCUCACUUCCUGGGUCUCCACCUUGCCCAGCAGGUGCCUCAACCAGUUAUUUUGCAUGUUUUGGGUAGAACUGGGGUUCCUGGGGGAUGGUCAAGCAGAAAUACAAGUUGGUGACAUGUCUUCCUGAACACAAGAACACCAUUCAACAAAGAUGUCACUAAACGCCACAGCCACACAAUCAUCCGCUCUGGCUGAGGCUGGGCAGGUGGCCAGCCCACGGAGGGACGGACAGGGAGGUGGCCGGGCAGUAAGCAGGACUGAGCCUGCUCCCGGGGGCGCCCCCCCGGGGUCUCAAUGGCCUCCCAGGUCAGCCGAGGAAUUCAUCCUUAAGGUAUUGCUCAGGCUCCCUCCCCAGGUGCCGACUCGCACGUUCCACUCGCUGCAUGUGGGACUCUGGCCGCCAGGAUCCUCCUUCCUCCUGGCCAGCCCCAGCCGCCCACUCCUCCUCAGGCUCCUGUGAUCCCAGCUGUGUCUCCAUCCCAGCCCCAGAGACAAUUUUUAAGGAGCUUCAACAUUCUUCUGUCCAGGGGAAGGGACGGCUCCAAGAUGGAGGACCGAGGCUCAGGAGACUCCCCAGAGGACACACAGCAAGGAUGCGGCCAAGCUGGGGUAUAGACAUGCGGUUUCUGACUCCAAGGCCAGUGCUCUUUCUGUAAUUGCUAUUUAUAGGAAGCAUAUGUCGUUAGACCCAGAUGUGGUCAUCACAGCCUCCUGAGCUAACACACAGAGCCUGUGAGAUCGCAGAAAAGCAGCCUUGGGUCUUGAAUGAGUCUGGGGCCCGUCCCUGAUGGCCUGGCGCCUAUUGAGUGGAGGUGUCUGAAGUAGGAAUGAGUGGUAACACUGCCUUCUGGGUACAUGGAGAGAGGUGAGGACCAUCUGUCGAUUUUCCUGACCCAAGGUCCUCUGCCCUUUCAUGUUUUCCUCUGGGGGUUACUCCUCCCAACCCCUGAGGUUUGCAUGGGGCCAGCCCCAUCCCCUGGCUUUAGAGGCUGGCAUGUGUCCCAGCUGGAAACUGAGCUGCCCUCCUUGGGAUUUCUGCAGCAGCCAUGGGGAAAGAGGCAUUCACUUUUCAUGGGAGUUGCCGGGUUGACGGAACUUCUGGUGACCACUCUUGUUCUCCACUUGAGGACGAAGCCAACAAAAAGGAAAGAAGAAAGAGGUGGAAAAAGUAUGCUGUCCAGAUAUCAGUAAGCUGCUGGACCCAGCCAUGCCUGAAACUGACCACAUCUCUGGACUAAUCUGAUUAUAUGAGCCAAUGAAUGCGUUUCAUUUUUCUAAAACUAUCCUGAGCUGUGUUUCUGUCAUAGAAAGGGUCCUAAGAAAACUAUAUUUUUAUUUGGUCUCAUUAAAAAAAAAUCAACCUUAAGGUAUACUUUACAUGCAGCCAUUUAAAAAUGUCCAAUUUAUACAUUUUUUCAAAUGUGUACACCCUUGUAAUUACUACCGCAGUCGAGUUGUAGAACAUUUAAGGUUCCCCAUUCCCCUUUAUGGUGAGUUCUCCUGACCCCAACCAACCACUGACCUGCCUUUGUCCUAGAGAUUUAUUCAGUCUUCUCUUGGUUCAGGUCCCUGGAGGUUGAGGAGAGCAUUUCCUCGAUGCUCAGAUUAUGGAUCAACCUGGGUCAUUUCUCCUGGGACUCAGAGUCACCCCUGGUCCAACUAUGCUGAAGCCAGAUGCACCUCAGUUUUGUGGUUCAAUACAGCCUUCCCUUCGUUUGAGCCAGCUCUCCACAGAAGAGUCCUGGCUGAUGGAGCUUAACCACCGCACCCUUCAGUAAAGCUCCGCCCAAGAACCUCCAGGCAAAACCAACUAAUGGUCAGUGCAGCUCACCUCCUGGGAGCCAGACACUAGCAAGUGCUUUACACGCAUUAUCUCAAGUCUUCUCAGCAACCCUUGGGAGGUGCUGUGAGCCCCACUUCACUGGGGUGUGGGUGUGUUGCAUACCUGGGCACCUCUGCACCUCCUCUGUCCACCAGGUUCCUGACUUGUCCCACAGCUGAAGCUGACCCCUCCCAGACCACAUGCCAGGGUAAGGGGGCUGGAUCCCGAAGGGCCAAAGAGGCUGAAGAACUCAAGCCAUACACGUGGAGGGAGUUCGUUUUCGGGACGAACUUUGAGCCGUAGCUUAAGAACCUUCGGCAGAAAAGAGCUCAGGAGGCCCUGUCGUCAGUAACCUAGUACACCUUUCAGAUCUUGUGGUCACACAAUACCUUGCCUAACCUGCUGGUUCUUCCCACAGAUCAAAGAAGUAGAAAUGAAGAAUAAGUAAUUACCAGGUGGCCAGAUCUCUUCCCCAGCUUCCCCUUCAGUAAUCUCACGAACAAAUGGUGGGAACAAGAUAGCAUCUAACAAGAAAGAUCACAAGUCGACAGGCCUGCACACAGCUGGGGAUCAGGACACCUCUGACCCCCUCCAUCCGUGAUUAACUGAGCUGACUUCCCUUUCCCCCCUUAGAAACUUCCAUGGCCACGCAGACUCUUCAGAGCUGGUUUUGGCGGAACACCUGAGUGCACCAUCUCCCCAGACUGCCGGCAUUCCGAUUAAAAGGAACUUUCCUUUCUAUCAACAACUGCUUCUUGGGUGUUGAUUUCCAAGCAGCUGGACUGAGUUUGGAAACAGCAGAUGAGACAGGAGGAUAAAUUCCUUCAUCCUCCAUCCCUUGGACCACUUGAGGCACAUCUUGCAGAUGGGGUUUGUUGUAUGGUCGUUACACGUCACCUUGCUUUGCUUCCUGUUCUUCCCGACCUCCUUUCUCUCAUCCCUCCCUCUAGCUGCCCUGGAAUUCCACUUCCAAGUUCAUGUAUCAGCCCUUAAUCCCUUGCCAGAGGGCCCACUCUCUAGGGAACUCAGCAGUCUGACGCCUGGGUCUGCACUACACGGCCUCAGUGAAUGCUGACCAAGAGGACAGAUACACGAUGGAUCAUGGCCAUGGGGUUGGGGCCUGAGGAGGGAAUACGGGUGGUACCAAAUUCACCAUCAGAGAUACCAGUGAUAAAGGCGUCCCCGUCAUCUCUCCUGUUCCAUUCACUGGGUCUAAUCAGUCAAAUCCUGACUCCAUGCUAUAGGUCAGAGACUGUGGCGUCCCCCACUAACCUGUGUCCAGUACGAAACAGUCCGUACUCCUUAUCCAUCACUCUCUGGGUAUGUGAUGCUGGCAAGGUGCCCAGCCUCUCUGAGCUGCCUUCCCCAUCUGUACAGUGGGGAUAAGACUGGGCUCACCACCUGGAACUGUGGAGAUGCCUAAUGGACACUAGGUUUGUGCCUAAAGCCGAGUAGGGGGAGGGCAUCGUGGAGGCUACCUGUCCAAUAGCGGUCCUGCUUUCUUUUGAGAAGCACCCCUCCUUCCUUCUGUCCCUACUGGGUAAAUAGGGCUGUCCCACCCCUACUGCCAGAUCCAGGCCAAUCCACACAUCUCUAUUGACCACAAGAUUGGAUCAGGCCUGGGCAUGAGACCCAAGUCAGACCAGUCCCUGCCACAGUUCCCUGAAGUUUCUGGAACAAUGAAAGAGGUGUUUGCUCUUUGCUUUUAGCCUGGAGCCACCAGAGGCCAUUUUUUCCUAUUUGCACACGUGAGAAUGAAUGUCAGUGCAGUGACGUCAGAAGAUAGCAAUGCCAAGAGAUGGAGCAGGACGCGAACUCUGGUGAUGGUCUUGGAGCUCCCAGAUCUACCAUGCCAGCAGCUAGGGAACCCCUGGUAUUUUUAGAAAUUAAAACAUAGGCAAAAAUUUUCCAUUUCAGUUGCCUAAGUCAGUUCAAGUUCCAUUUCUGUUACUUAAAACUGAAAUAGUCUUGGGUCUUACCUUGUGGGCCAGUGGUGAAGAAUCCACCUGCCAAUUUAGGGGACAUGGGUUCAAUCCCUGGUCCAGAAAGAUCCCACAUGCCACAGGGUAACUAAGCCCACCCUCUAGAGCCCAUGCUUCUUUUGUUGAAGAAGAAGCAUGUUUGCUUUUGUAACAAGAAGCUUGUUUGCAGGCAACGGUGAAGAGCCUGCGACUAGAAAAAGCCUGAGCCCAAGCAACAAAGAGCUCCUGCACCUCAUUAGAGACCCAGCGCAGCCAAAAAUAAUUUCUUAAAAAACUGAAAUGCUCUUGACCAAUACUAUAGGUUCUUUAUAAAUGAUCACUGCCAUUAUUGCAAUUACUAAUGUUAUAAACACAUUCCUAGGAAGAUGCAGCCUUGGGGACAUAUAGGCCAGGCUCCCCAAGGGUCACUGCUGCUCGCCACACAUUAUACUAACCCUGGAUAUGAGCUCCCCAAGGGCGGGGGAUUCAUGUUUGCUACUGAUAUAUCCCAGGUGCCUGAUGUCUGCACAAGGUAGGUGAUUCAUAGACACCCACUGAAUGAACAAAUGGAGUUGGCCCACUGCCCCCUGGCCCCCAGGCCUGGCUUCACGUUUUGCCCUCUGUCCUUGGCUGUCAUCUGAACCCACUGGGGUGUUCUGCAGGAGUCUGUCUUGGCAAACUGAUCUGUUUCCACAGUGUCCUUCCUAGGGCCUCACUCAUCCCUUCAUCUGCUCAUGCACUCAAGUUUCCAAAAUCCUUAUUAGAAAUGUCCAUUAUGGAUCAUGGCUUUCACAAAAAUUACCUCAAAGUGAAUCAAACACUUAAGUGCAAAACUGGAAACCAUAAAACUCUUAGAAGAAAAAAUAGGGACAAAGCUCCUUGACAUGGGUCUUGGCAAUGAUUUUUUUAGAUAUGAGACCUGAAACACAAGCAUCAAAAUAAAACCAAGUGGGACUAUAUCACACUGAAAUGCUUCUACACAACAAAAGAAAUAAUGAAAAGACAACCUAUGAAAUGGGAAAAAGUAUUUGCAAACUAUAUAUCUGAAAGGGGUUAAUAUUCAAAAUAUAUCAAGAACUACAAGUCCAUAGCAAAGUAGUAAUGAUGCUGCUGCUAUAAUUAACACAGGACCUGAAUAAACACUUUUUAAAGACGUGGCCAACAGGUACAUGAAAAGAUGCUCAACAUCACUAAUCAUGAGGGAAAUGAAAAAACCACAGUGAGAUAUCACCUCACACCUGUUACCAUGACAAUCAUCAAAAGACUGAUAAGUGGAGAAGCGGGAACCCUUGUGCACUCUCAGUGGGAGUGUAAGUUGGUGUAACCACUAUGGAAAACAGCAUGGCGGUUCCUCAAAAAAUUAGAACUAUCAUAUGUAGAACUUCCAUAUGACCCAGCAAUUCCACUUCUGGAAAUAUAUCUAAAGCAAAUGAAGACACUAUGUCAAAGAGGUAUCAACCCCCAUGUUCAUAGCAGCAUUAUUUACAACAGCCAAGACAUGCCAACAAAGACACUGGUGUGCCCACACACAAUUAUAUACAUGCAUACAGUGGAAUAUUAGUCAUAAAAAGAAGGAAAUACUGCCCUUUGUGACAACAUGAAUAGACCGUGAGGGCAAUAUGCCAGGCAAAACCGGUCAGAUAAACACUAUGAUAUCACAUAUAUAUGUGUGUGUGCAGCCUAAAACAACAAACAAAAGGCCAAAUGCAUAGAAAAAAAAGAUUUGUCAUCUGUGCAAGAGUGGGGUGCUGUGGGGAGGCGGAAACAGGAGGCAGUCAGAAGUACAAACUUUGAGUUAUAAGACAAAUACCUAAGGAUGUACUAUAGAACAUGAUGGCUAUAGCUAACACCACCGCAUGGUAUAUUUGAAAGUUGUUAGGAGAUGGGCUUCCCAGGUGGCGCAGUGGUAAAGAAUCCACCUGUCAAUGCAGGAGACGCAAGAGACUUGGAUUCAAUCCCUGGGUCAGAAAAAUCCCGUGGAGUAGGAAAUAGCCAUCCACUCCAGUAUUUUUGUUUGUUUUGAUAGAUAAGAAGUGGAUUUAUUCAGAGAAACACACUGUGCAGACGGAGUGUGGGCCAUCACAGAGGGUGCCACUCCAGUAUUCUUGCCUAAGAAAUCCCAUGGACAGAGGAGCCAGGUGGGCUACAGUCCACAUGGUUGCAAAGAGUUGGACAUGACUGAGCACACAAGAGACGAGAAACUUAACACGAUAUUGUAAAUCAACUAGACUUCAGUUUUUUUUUAAAAAAGUAGAUCAUAAGAGUCACAAGGAAGAAAAGCUUCAUCUUUUUAUUUUACCUACAUAAAAUGACAGAGGGAAUUCCCAGGUGAUCCAGUGGUUAGGACUCCACGAUUCCACUGCAGGGGGUCAUAGGUUUGAUCCCUGGUCAGGGUCUCGCGUGCCAUGGGAACCAGGGAGAGAUGAGCAAAGUGAACAAUGCUUUGCCUGCCUUCUAUUCUAAUAGAAUAGGGAGCUUCUAUUCUAAUGGGGAUGUAUGUUGACAAUUUUGGUACAAUAAGGUUAUUUUAGGCAUUUGGAUAAUUUUCUGGUAUCCUUCUACAGGCCAGAUAAUGGAAUUAAAGAGUGUAUUUUGGUUUUAAGCUAAACUGGGACUAAGCUGUUUAGCUAUCUUCAAAGAAGGUGGAAAGAGGGGCCGAGUCCCUACUGAAAGGAUGCACAGCAAACUGGGAGCAGGUCUAAAACUCAUACCCCGGUCUGUUGCGUCACAUGUGGCGCUGGUCUGGAGGCAGGGUGGUGGAGCAGAGAGGGUUUGGGUUCUGAGAACUGGUGAUCUGGACUUGAAUCUAGGAGCUGCCGUUUAUAAACAGUGGGAUCUCGGGUAACAACACCCCACCAUCUCCUCUGCCGGUUCAUACCCCACCUUGGUAAAGUUUUUUACACUGUUCCUGUUAUUGACAUUCACAUCCUCUUCUGCUCCACAAUCAAGUCUUUAUUGCUUUCUCCACAGGUCGACUCAAAAGAUGAAAAGCCUUGAAAUAGCAUUUAUGUGACUACAAUUGUUAAAUAUCAUUUAUUGUAAACACCUCCUUUUAACUGAAGCUAGUUGGACUGAGACUUGUGUUUGGUCAUGUUUUGUUGAACUGGAUGAGAUGUAUCCCCAGGCCUCUGGGACAGAAGCUCCCCCUGGGCCUGUUUCUUGGGCCUAUGACCCAGGGCCUGUGUUCAGAAGGGCCCUAUGCUUGGUUUGAUGCUUUGCUGUUGCUAUCUUGAAAUUCUAGAUACUUUUGAGCACAAGGUCCCACAAUUAUGUGGCCAGUCCUAAGCUCACAACCUUGAUGCUAGAGGCCAAAGUGGUCUGAGAAACUCCCUUGUUGCACACCUUCCUUUGGGAGGAAAGCAGGGACCUUAGGCAGGCCCUGAAGUAGCCAGGAAAAAUUAAAGUGAUACGCUGUGGACCUGAGUGAUGGCUUGUGAGUGUGCUCCACGUGGCGAUGUCAGGCUGCCCUGCUUCAAGUUCCCUCUUAAACAGUAGCUGAAAGGUCGGUGAACCGUGGGCUGCACGAAGGAGGUAGGGCUAUCCUCAUGAGGGCAUCAGGGCUGAAUGGUCUGCCCAAGGUCCCACAGCUUAUAAACGGCAGGUCCUAGGUUCAAGACCAGGUCACCAGUUGUGAGACACAAACCCUCUCAGCUCCACCAUGCUGCCUCCAGACCAGUGCCACAUGAGAUGCAGCAGACCUGGGUGUGAGUUCUAGACCUGCUCCCAGAGCUGUGUGUCCUUUUGGCAGGAACUUGCCCUCUCUGAACACUUAGCCCAGAGCCUGAGGGAGUGGAUAAACUCCCUUUCAAACAAUCACUAUGUAACUAAUGAAGAGAAAAGCAUUUCUGCUAUAGACAGAUUUCAGCUAAUGAAAGCAGAAGGAAUGAAAUACGAUACCACUUGGCAGCCCCUGACGAACUGUUUGAAUGGCAGCUAGCAUGUUAAAAGCAAAUCAGAUACCGUGGACCUCCUGAUAAAAGAUCUCAACACCACCUUGCCAAUCUCAACACAGUUUUGCCAAAAAACAAAACAAACGAAUCAGAUCUGCUUCUAAUAACCAGUAGAACAAAGGAUAGAAGAACACGUCCAACUACACCACAGGGCAGCAAUCGACAAAGCCCAGAUGGAGUGAAAGGCAACCAGAUAAACAACUCGUUUCUUCCAACAAAUGAAACAAAACACUUGGCCCAAAACACUCAAAAGACAUACUGACCAAUUAUACCUUCUUUGGAUUGAAAUGUAAAUAAACUCUAAAAAGAUAACUAUGUCACAACUGGAAA